rnacentral:rRNA from 1 species
UGGGAGACUUGCUCCCAGGCGUCGAGCGGCGGACGGGUGAGAAACACGUGGGAAUCUGCCCAUUAGUGGGGGAUAACUCGGGGAAACUCGAGCUAAUACCGCAUAAUCCCUACGGGGGAAAGCAGGGGAUCUUCGGACCUUGCGCUGAUGGAUGAGCCCGCGUCGGAUUAGCUUGUUGGUGGGGUAAUGGCCCACCAAGGCGACGAUCCGUAACUGGUCUGAGAGGAUGGCCAGUCACACCGGGACUGAGACACGGCCCGGACUCCUACGGGAGGCAGCAGUGGGGAAUCUUGGACAAUGGGCGCAAGCCUGAUCCAGCCAUGCCGCGUGUGUGAAGAAGGCCUUCGGGUUGUAAAGCACUUUCAGUAGGGAGGAAGGCUUCGGGCUAAUACCCUGGAGUACUUGACGUUACCUACAGAAGAAGCACCGGCUAAUUUCGUGCCAGCAGCCGCGGUAAUACGAAAGGUGCGAGCGUUAAUCGGAAUUACUGGGCGUAAAGCGCGCGUAGGCGGUGUGUUAAGUCGGAUGUGAAAGCCCAGGGCUCAACCUUGGAAUUGCAUCCGAUACUGGCACGCUAGAGUGCAGUAGAGGGAGGUGGAAUUUCCGGUGUAGCGGUGAAAUGCGUAGAGAUCGGAAGGAACACCAGUGGCGAAGGCGGCCUCCUGGACUGACACUGACGCUGAGGUGCGAAAGCGUGGGGGAGCAAACAGGAUUAGAUACCCUGGUAGUGCACGCCGUAAACGAUGUCUACUAGCCGUUGGGGUCCUUAGUGACUUUGGUGGCGCAGCUAACGCGAUAAGUAGACCGCCUGGGGAGUACGGCCGCAAGGUUAAAACUCAAAUGAAUUGACGGGGGCCCGCACAAGCGGUGGAGCAUGUGGUUUAAUUCGAUGCAACGCGAAGAACCUUACCAGGCCUUGACAUCCUGCGAACUUUCUAGAGAUAGAUUGGUGCCUUCGGGAGCGCAGUGACAGGUGCUGCAUGGCUGUCGUCAGCUCGUGUCGUGAGAUGUUGGGUUAAGUCCCGUAACGAGCGCAACCCUUGUCCUUAGUUGCCAGCACUUCGGGUGGGAACUCUAGGGAGACUGCCGGUGACAAACCGGAGGAAGGUGGGGACGACGUCAAGUCAUCAUGGCCCUUACGGCCUGGGCUACACACGUGCUACAAUGGUUGGUACAGAGGGUUGCGAAGUCGCGAGGCGGAGCUAAUCUCUCAAAGCCAAUUGUAGUCCGGAUUGGAGUCUGCAACUCGACUCCAUGAAGUCGGAAUCGCUAGUAAUCGCGGAUCAGAAUGCCGCGGUGAAUACGUUCCCGGGCCUUGUACACACCCCCCGUCUCACCAUGGGAGUGGAUUGCACCAGA